GACAGAGGGUGCAAACGUUGUUCGGAAUUACUGGGCGUAAAGCGCGUGUAGGCUGCUCCAAAAGUCGGAUGUGAAAGCCCUGGGCUCAACCUAGGAAGUGCAUUCGAUACUGAUCGACUCGAAGGCAGGAGAGGGAAGCGGAAUUCCCGGUGUAGUGGUGAAAUGCGUAGAUAUCGGGAGGAACACCGGUGGCGAAAGCGGCUUCCUGGCCCGACAUUGACGCUCAUGUACGAGAGCGUGGGGAGCAAACAGG
rnacentral:rRNA from 1 species